rnacentral:rRNA from 1 species
CCUACGGGAGGCAGCAGUGAGGAAUUUUCCGCAAUGGGCGAAAGCCUGACGGAGCAAUGCCGCGUGGAGGACGAAGGCCUGUGGGUUGUAAACUCCUUUUCUCAGAAAAACGGUAUCUGAGGAAUAAGCAUCGGCUAACUCCGUGCCAGCAGCCGCGGUAAUACGGAGGAUGCAAGCGUUAUCCGGAAUGAUUGGGCGUAAAGCGUCUGUAGGUGGGUUGUAAAGUCUUCUGUUAAAGAUCGGGGCUUAACCCAGUUUAAGCAGUGGAAACUUAUAACCUAGAGUACGGUAGGGGCAGAGGGAAUUCCCGGUGUAGCGGUGAAAUGCGUAGAUAUCGGGAAGAACACCGACGGCGAAAGCACUCUGCUGGGCCGACUGACACUGAGAGACGAAAGCUAGGGGAGCAAAAGGGAUUAGAUACCCUUGUAGUC